rnacentral:rRNA from 1 species
UACAGAGACCUCAAGCGUUAUCCGGAAUCAUUGGGCGUAAAGCGUACCGAUAGGUGGUUUUACAAGUCAGAGGUGAAAUCUCUCAGCUUAACUGGGAGACUGUCCUUUGAAACUGUAAAACUAGAGGGGCAAAGAGGAAGCUAGAACUAACGGUGUAGGGGUAACAUCCGUUGAUCUCGUUAGGAAUACCAAUAGCGAAGGCAGGCUUCUGGGUGCCACCUGACACUUCUAGGACGAAAGCGUGGGGAGCAAAAAGG